UACGUAGGGGGGCGAGCGUUAUCCGGAUUUACUGGGCGUAAAGCGCGUUAAGGCGGUCGGCAAAGUUGGUUGUGAAAUCUCAGGGCUCAACCCUGAAAUUGCGACCAAUACUGGUCGACUAGAGUGCAAGAGAGGAAGGUGGAAUUCCCGGUGUAGUAGUGAAAUGCGUAGAUAUCGUGAGGAAUACCAAGUGCGAAGGCAGGACUCUGGACAUUUUUCUGACGCUGAGACACGAAGGCUAGGGGAGCAAACGGG
rnacentral:rRNA from 1 species